CAUUUCCCUUUCAAAUACCUUAAGCUGAAUCACUGUUCUUUUAUGAAUUCUUAUUAUUCUAUUAUUGUUGUUAUUAUUGGUUUGAUAGUUGUCCAAAUCCCCUGUAGCAUGUUUAAUUUGUGUAUUUGAAUCGUGAUGACUAAUGAGCAUGGUGAAUCUACUUGUUCUUCAUUUUGGAAUACAAAAAGUAUGAAUGUGAAAGAAAUUGUUAUGUAGGUAAAGCGGCUUAGCUUCUUUAGCUUAUAUUACCAGUGUGGAGUGGUGCUGAUAGCCAAUUUGUUAUAAUUGCUUUAUUAUCUGGUUAGUUGACAUGUAAUUAUCAAGUGAGUCUGGACAUGUUAAAAAUCAGUUUGAACAAUAUCUAUCAGUGUGUUUUUCAUGGAAACUUUCUCAUUUAUUACUACAGAACAUGUUGAGUAUGCCUCUGCAAUCUGCAUUCUGCAAAUAUGAAAGUAGCAGGGUUAAAUAUGCACUGGGCCUGCCUUCAGUGACCCCAUUUUAACUUGUAUUUAGUAAACAUCCUCUCUUUUUAACUUAGUGCCUUCAAAACACUGAUUUAUUGAAUGGGAUAAUGGGAUAUCACUCUUCUCACCAGCUAUGCUCAAGUAGGUAAAGGGGAUUCAGAUCCUAUUGUGGUUGACAUGAGAGCUCGAAUCCGUGGAAAUAAAGGCUAUUGAAUCCAGAGAUUGAACGAAAUAUGUAGGCUUUGUUGGUAGGGUGAAAUACAAGGGAUCUUGAUGUGUUGUUCUUCUAGAGUGAAUGUAGAUAUAAAAAACUUUGAAACUUUAUGAACCUAUUUAAAACAUAAAUUCUUAGGGCAAUCUUGCCGAUGGUGUUUAGUGGAAUGGUGAAAGUAGCACGAUGGUUUUACUUGUUUUAUGCUAUUUAUUGUUUCCAGUAUACUCUUUAGCUGGUCUUGCUGUUUGGUGCAUAACUGUGACAAGAGGGAAAGAGAAAGCCCAACAGUCUAUUUGCAA